rnacentral:misc_RNA from 1 species
AAUUCUGUCGAAACAUACAGUUUGUGUGUUUUGGACUGUUGGGAGUGUUUUGCUGGUUUUGACUUGAAACCAGCUCUCCUGAAAAGAAAUAGGUUGGUUAGAGAGAUGUGUUGUAGUCACUCACUCCUGCCUUUCUAUGGUGUGGUAGAUUGAAUGUGUUUAUUAUUCACUAUGGCCAGGAAAGCAGUUAGAAGUGAAACUAUGAUGUCUCUGUUCUCAUUUUUGAGAAAAUGAUUUAAAUG